rnacentral:pre_miRNA from 1 species
UUUGUACUCCCUCCGUCAGAAAAUACUUGUCAUUGAAAUGGAUGUAUCUAGAUGUAUUUUAGUUCUAGACACAUCCAUUUUGAUGACAAGUAAUUCCGGACGGAAGGAGUACUUG